rnacentral:rRNA from 1 species
GACGAACGCUGGCGGCGUGCCUAAUACAUGCAAGUCGAGCGAAGUUUUUCUGGUGCUUGCACUAGAAAAACUUAGCGGCGAACGGGUGAGUAACACGUAAAGAACCUGCCUCAUAGACUGGGACAACUAUUGGAAACGAUAGCUAAUACCGGAUAACAGUAUUUCUCGCAUGAGAGAUAUUUAAAAGUUGGUUAUGCUAACACUAUGGGAUGGCUUUGCGGUGCAUUAGCUAGUUGGUGGGGUAAAGGCCCACCAAGGCGACGAUGCAUAGCCGACCUGAGAGGGUGAUCGGCCACACUGGGACUGAGACACGGCCCAGACUCCUACGGGAGGCAGCAGUAGGGAAUCUUCCGCAAUGGGCGAAAGCCUGACGGAGCAACGCCGCGUGAGUGAAGAAGGAUUUCGGUUCGUAAAGCUCUGUUGUUAGGGAAGAAUGGAUAUGUAGUAACUAUACAUGUAAGAGACGGUACCUAACCAGAAAGCCACGGCUAACUACGUG